rnacentral:rRNA from 1 species
AGAGUUUGAUCAUGGCUCAGAAUCAACGCUGGCGGCGUGCCUAACACAUGCAAGUCGAGCGAGAAAAGGAACUUCGGUUCCUGAGUAAAGCGGCGGACGGGUGAGUAACACGUGGGUAAUCUGCCCUCGGGUGGGGAAUAACUCAGGGAAACCUGGGCUAAUUCCGCAUGACACUUUCGAUACAUAAGUAUUGAGAAUCAAAGCUGGGGACCCUUCGGGGCCUGGCGCCUGAGGAGGAGCCCGCGGCCAAUUAGCUUGAUGGUGAGGUAACGGCUCACCAUGGCUUCGAUUGGUAGCCGGCCUGAGAGGGCGGACGGUCACACUGGGACUGAGACACGGCCCAGACUCCUACGGGAGGCAGCAGUGGGGAAUUUUUGUCAAUGGGGGAAACCCUGAACAAGCAACGCCGCGUGAAGGACGAAGACCUUCGGGUUGUAAACUUCUGUCGGAGGGGACGAAAGCUUUCGUGGUUAAUACCCAUGAUUGUUGACGGUACCCUAUGAGGAAGCCCCGGCUAACUCCGUGCCAGCAGCCGCGGUAAUACGGGGGGGGCAAGCGUUGUUCGGAAUUACUGGGCGUAAAGGGCGCGCAGGCGGGCGGGAAAGUCUCUCGUGAAAGCCCACGGCUCAACCGUGGAAUUGCGGGAGAUACUACUCGUCUUGAGUCCGGGAGAGGAGUGUGGAAUUCCCAGUGUAGCGGUGAAAUGCGUAGAUAUUGGGAGGAACACCGGUGGCGAAGGCGGCACUCUGGACCGGUACUGACGCUGAGGCGCGAAAGCUAGGGGAGCAAACGGGAUUAGAUACCCCGGUAGUCCUAGCUGUAAACGCUGAGCACUUGGUGUAGCGGGUAUCGACCCCUGCUGUGCCGAAGCUAACGCAUUAAGUGCUCCGCCUGGGGAGUACGGUCGCAAGGCUGAAACUCAAGGGAAUUGACG